CCUACGGGAGGCAGCAGUAGGGAAUCUUCCGCAAUGGACGAAAGUCUGACGGAGCAACGCCGCGUGAACGAUGAAGGCCUUCGGGUCGUAAAGUUCUGUUGUUAGGGAAGAACAAGUGCUAGUUAAAUAAGCUGGCACCUUGACGGUACCUAACCAGAAAGCCACGGCUAACUACGUGCCAGCAGCCGCGGUAAUACGUAGGUGGCAAGCGUUGUCCGGAAUUAUUGGGCGUAAAGCGCGCGCAGGGCGGUUUCUUAAGUCUGAUGUGAAAGCCCCCGGCUCAACCGGGGAGGGUCAUUGGAAACUGGGAAACUUGAGUGCAGAAGAGGAAAGUGGAAUUCCAAGUGUAGCGGUGAAAUGCGUAGAGAUUUGGAGGAACACCAGUGGCGAAGGCGACUUUCUGGUCUGUAACUGACGCUGAGGCGCGAAAGCGUGGGGAGCAAACAGGAUUAGAUACCCUGGUAGUCCACGCUGUAAACGAUGAGUGCUAAGUGUUAGAGGGUUUCCGCCCUUUAGUGCUGAAGUUAACGCAUUAAGCACUCCGCCUGGGGAAUCGGUGCAAGCUGAAACUCAAAUGAAAUUGACGGNUGAAGNGNGCGAGNGACAGAGGAGAG
rnacentral:rRNA from 1 species